rnacentral:pre_miRNA from 1 species
GGCUUAAUUACUCUUUUGGUCCCUUAACUUAUUUUUUGGUUUCGUUUUGGUUCCUUAACUAUUAAAAGUUUCGUUUUGGUCCCUUAACUUAUUUUUUGGUCCCUUAACUCUAAUACAUUCAUCCUAACAUAAAGGACCAAAGUGGUUGACGGAGGAAGAGUUAAGGGACCAAAAUGAAACCAAAAAGUAAGUUAAAGGACCAAAACGAAACGUUUAAUAGUUAAGGGACCAAAACGAAACCAAAAAGUAAGUUAAGGGACCAAAACAAAACUUUUAAUAAUUAAGGGA